AAAUGGAGAGGGUGGAAGCAGAGGUUUUGAUGGGCUCGUCAGUGUGCCGCAGAGUUGUGGCAGCUAGUUGAAGAUGUGGUGAUGGUGAUUUGCUAUUGAAUCUCAGCAGGCUCGAAGAUGAGUAGGGUUCAACAACUCUGUAUCCCCUGCCCAUGUAGAUGAUGAUGAAGAAUCCAUCUUUCAUUAGACUUGUUUCUUUCAGGGUAGAGGUCAGUAGUAUGAAUAAUGUUUGAUGGUAUCCACAAUUACAUCAAUUCCAAAAAGAGCUCAAGCUAAGUUUAUCUUAUGUUUUGUCAAACUUGUUCUCAUGUGACUACAAGGCUUAUAGACGAUAACUAAAACUUUGGGAAGUCAUCAUUGUAAUAUUACAGGUAUUGCUAUUUCCUGCUCCCAAGCAAGUUGUUAAUUUUAAUGUUUUUUUUUUCUCGCUUCAAGUGCUUCAAAUGUGAGGAAAUCGUUUCUUUAAAUCUGAAGCAUUUUCAAUGUCUUUCAGCUAUAUUAGUUGUCUGCAUAAGAAUUACCAUGAUAUGUUUUUGCGAGUUAUGGUAAAAUACUCCAAAUUUUGCUAGUUGUUUGCAUUGUUGCUCAGUUAUUAGAUGCAAUCGCCAAAGGAAAUGAUUUUCUCAGUAGCAGAUUGGGCUACGUUCAAAGACUUUGUAUGGGAGGGUGGGGCAGAUCCAGUCUAUCUGUUGCAGAGACUUAGGCUGCAGAUUUUUUGUUUGUUUGUUUAGAGUAUCUGGAUAAUGCAGGGUGACGGGUAGUAGCUGGCGGAGGGUGAGUAGGAAUUGUCUCCUUGCUAUUGGUUGGCAAGGAGGUGUAGAAGCUGAAGUUUUCUGCAUUUUGAGUGGCUGCUUGGCAUGCUCUGAUUUUUUUCAUUCCCCUUUCCAGUCUUCUAUUUUCCGAUAUGAUAGGUACUUCUCCUAUGAACAUUUCUAUGCGAUAUACUGCAAAUUUUGGGAGCUGGAUAUGGAUCAUGAUUUCUUGAUUGAUAAAGAGAAUCUUAUUAGAUAUGGUAACCAUGCUCUCACAUAUAGGAUUGUUGAUGGAAUUUUUUCACAGAUUCCAACAAACUAUUCCAACAUAGAGAGCUUCCACCCUAGGAGGUACGUUUGAACCCCACACAUUAGAACAAGGCUAACUACUUGGAUUUUGGUUAUAUAGCCAAUGACACAAGUCCCAAUCAAAAUUCACUGAAGCCAAGGCUAAAAGCCUAUUGGUCCUUCAACAAAACAUUCCUAA